rnacentral:ncRNA from 3 species
AACUUAUCGAGAGUGGUCGAGGGACUGGCCCUAUGACACCCGGCAACCGGCAGCAAUGCAAGGUGCUAAAUCCAGCGGAGCAAUCCGGAAGAUGAGUU